AUACGGAGGAUGCAAGCGUUAUCCGGAUUUAUUGGGUUUAAAGGGUGCGUAGGCGGUUUGCUAAGCGGGAGGUGAAAUGCCGGCGCUCAACGUCGGAAGUGCCUCCCGAACUGGUGGACUUGAAUGACUCUGCCGUGGGAGGAAUGUGUAGUGUAGCGGUGAAAUGCUUAGAGAUUACACAGAACACCGAUUGCGAAGGCGUCUCACGAAGGGUUGAUGUACGCUGAGGCACUAAAGCAUUGAGAUCAAACAGGUUUAAAUACCCUGCUAGAGCACGCAUUAAACGUUGAUGGCUAGCCGUAGGGAUUAGCAGUUCAGUGGCCAAGCGAAAGCAAUAAACCAUCCACCUGGGGAGUACGACCGCAACGUUGAAACUGACAGGAUUUGACGUUG
rnacentral:rRNA from 1 species